ACGACUCUUAGCAACGGAUAUCUUGGUUCUUGCAACGAUGAAGAACGUAGGGAAUUGCAAAAUUCCACGAAUCAUCGAGUCUUUGAAUGCAAGUUGUGCCUACGGCUUGUCCAAGGGCAUGCCUUCCUGAGCGUCCCC
rnacentral:rRNA from 1 species